rnacentral:misc_RNA from 1 species
AACGCAAAUUGCGCCCAAGGUUUAGGCCGAGGGCAUGCCUGGCUCAGCGUCGUCACACCCCCUCGCCUCCCCUCCGGCCCUGCCUCCCCGAUCACAAGGGGGGAGCAGGCCAGCAGAGCGGUGGCGGAUGUGGCCGUGUCGCUCCCCUCCAGCGUGAGCGGCUCGGCCGAAGAACAGACUCUCCCCUGGAUCCCCGGACGUGGGACGGCAGAUUGGUAGGCAACCCCUCUCGGCUGCAUGCCUGCUGACGGCCCACGGCCCCGGGCACGGUCCCAGGACUCACAAAGGAGAGGCGCCUCGCAGGAAAAAUCGACACUCAGUCUUCGACCUGAGCUCAGGCAAGAGCACCCGCUGAACUUAA